rnacentral:rRNA from 1 species
GCGGUAAUUCCAGCUCCAAUAGCGUAUAUUAAAGUUGUUGCAGUUAAGAAGCUCGUAGUUGAAUUUCUGCCUUAUCAUUAAUUUCGCUUCCGAACGUAAUUUUAUUGAUUUGGCAUCUUCUGGAUUAUAUAUUAUUUUUAAUAUAUUUUUCCAGUAUUUUACUUUGAGAAAACUAGAGUGUUUCAAACAGGCUUUUGCCUUGAAUACUACAGCAUGGAAUAAUGAAGUAGGACUAUUGGUUCUAUUUUGUUGGUUAUCGAACCAUAGUAAUGGUUAAUAGGAGCAGUUGGGGGCAUUCGUAUUUAACUGUCAGAGGUGAAAUUCUUAGAUUUGUUAAAGACGAACUACUGCGAAAGCAUUUGCCAAGGAUGUUUUCAUUAAUCAAGAACGAAAGUUAGGGGAUCGAAGACGAUCAGAUACCGUCGUAGUCC